AUUAAUGGAAGCGUGUGGGGCCUCGGCCGAAAGGGACUCCCCUCCCUCCCUCCCCCGGCGCCACCCGCGCGGCGCCGGGGAGGGCUCCAGAUCCCCGCCGCCACACCCCCUCCUCCUCCCUCCUCCUCCCUCGCCGCCGCCAAGGGGCGCGGCCGGGCGAAGCCCGGGCGUCGCCGGCGGCGGCGGGGCUCCUUCGGCCCCCGCCUCGUGGGGUAUGGCGCGGGCCAGAUCUUGCGGCUGGGCGCGUGCUCGGUGCCGGGCGUGGCGGCGCGGCGGCGCCCCGGAGCAGGUCGGCGAUGGCGGCGUUCGACGGGUGGCGGGCGGCAUGGUGGUGGUGCGGGCCGGUGGUGGAGUCGGCGGCGGUGCUUCCGGCAGCGCUUCGGCGUCGCCUCCGGCGGCACGGGUCGCGGUUGACCGGGUCACGGGAGGCCCUCUCACCAUGGUGCUCUGGUGAGGGGGCGGCGCGGCAGCGGAGGUGGUGGGUUGCUCCCACCUAGUCGGGCCCUCGCGGCUAGGUGGCGGUGCUCGGCUCGGGUGGAUCCCCUGGUGGUGUCUUCAGGCGGCGACGGCGAUGGCUCCGCAACCCUCCCUCUCCGGCUUCUGGCGACGGCUGAUGCCCCCUGAUGCUCCGGGCCUUCGAAGCGGGGGCGGAACACGGUUCCGGGGGGAAGUUGGAGACAGGGUGUCGAUCGUGGCCAUGUGCCACUUCUCCGCCUUCCCCUUCCCCCGAUCGAGGUGGUCGCGGCCCUUCUCGAGGCAGCUUGGCCGGCGGCGGUUCUGUAGGUGGUCGGGGUUGUGGAUCUUGACAAAGGCGUGGCCUUUGGGGGCUUCAGGGCGGUCUCAUGGCGGGGCGGCGGCCCUGGCGGUGGGAGUCGCGUUGGUUGUGGGCGGAUCGCAUGACUCGGAUGCGGGCAGGCAACCAUGGCCGCUCGGGCGGCAUGGUUGUGGGCAUUGGCGGACCGGGGUGGCGACGAGGGAGUUGAAGCACCGGGGUUCAUCACCUACCCAGUCCCGUUCUGGUCGACGGUGACGGCGUCCGUGGACGUCGUGUUCCUCCUUGCAGGCUCCGUUGUGGUGCUUCUUCUCCCUCCAUCUUACCCCGGGUGAAAACUUGAUCUUCGGAUCAGACGGUGGCGACGGUCUUGGUCGUGCCCUUCCUGGAGGCCCCGUCUUGGAGUCCUCGGUCCGGCGUGUCCGUCGCGCAUCCUCCCGGACGAUCGCUCCUUGGUGGUGGUCUCGGUCGACUCUUAGCGGAUCCUUUUUUUGCUUAUCUUUUAGAUGCUUUGUGUCGUUGAGGUUGUGCGUCGGUGCCCGGCAUUCAUGUAUCUUGCCUUGGGUUUGUGUGGCGUGUGUUUGUAUCGGAUGCUUGUUGUUGUGGUUGUGGUUGUGCUUUAUAAUAUAAAGCGGGGGAAACCCUUUUUCGUAUUAAUGGAAGCGUGUGCAUUCAUCCAAAGAAUUCACAGAACAAAUCUUCCGUUUGGCGACUGCAGAGUGCAGAGGACGAAAUCUUUUACCUGAUUAAUUGUUUUAUUUUUGUACUGUGAUAUAAAGAAGGAAUGUGCAUCGUAGGGGAUUUGCUACGUGCUACAUAUGUCUUAUUCACUGGCAGUCAGUCAGCUUAUAUUCCAGUGCUGAGAAAUGGCACAAUCAUCUCAUGCCAUUUCGUGGGAGCAGUAGAAGAAGCAUAGAUGCAAUGGUGUGAAGCAGAACACUAAUCAGUUCAAUAAGUAUGCACUUCCCAAGUUCCUUAUGCAAAUGAAAUGGCACACUUUUUCUUAUGCCCUCAUAUAGUGUGGAUUGAAGAUUACAGAGUGAACGAUAGCAUGAUAUAACUCAAGUUCAUUGUAGUUGUAAAAAAUUCGUACGGGAGCAAGUAUUGUGAUCACAAUUACAGACAAGAUUCCUAAGUGCUUGACAAUACCUACGACUUCGAAUAAAUUUGUCCUAUGGGUGACAUGAACAUCUGUGGCAAGAACGGCGAUGUGAUGCUCAUGGGAGUUGAGGUCAAGGAAGUGAAUACACCGAUGAUGCAUCCAUAGAUGUAUAAAUUGUUCUUGCAUGAGCAUAUUGUGGUAACUACGGGGAGGAGAUAAAGAGCAUCAACAACCUCUUGACCGGGGUCUUUGUCGCCACAACGAACAACAACAGUUAUUACCAGCUUGUGAGGUAGCUGUUGGGGCGUUGGAACCUUCUUGAGAAGAAGAACAAACUGGUGAUCGAGUUGUUCAACGAGGACGACAGGAGCGGCCCUGGCAAGGAGCAAAAGAAGGCAGAGUUCGGCUCCACUGGCUGCCAACUCCGACAGUGGGAGGAGGAGAAGGAAAAAAGGAGUAAUUUAAUGGUGAAAGAAACUUGAAAGCUUGUUCUAACUAUUAAAUUAUAUGUGCCCCCGUUGCAACACACAUUGGAUUAGUACACUGUCAUAAUUUCAGAAAAUUUGCAGAAGCAGCGA